GAAAAGGCUUGGGAGGCCGGUUUGCCUUCGACAGAACUGCUCAGAACCAGGCUCUCCCCCUCCCGAUCUCAUUCCUUCCAAGUCCAUUGGAGUUGGGAGAGGAAGGAUUUCAUUUCCAUUUCCCAGGUGAAAUUGAAGUCACAUUCGCCUGCACACAGACCGACAAUCUCACAUAGGAGGGCCACACCAGUUCUGCCAGAGAUAAGCCAUACAAGUAACAGACAGCCUCACAAUAGCCUGGUCAUAAAUGCUGGAGCAUAAAGGUUCUCAUGGAUCCCCAGAAAUUCAUCACUGCACCGCUGAUGAACAGUCAAUAAAUUAUGAACAGAAACUGUUCCACCCCCAGCUCUCACUCUUCUUGCAACUUACGUCUACAAAACACACCCUCAAUCCAUGUCUUGGAAGAAACAAGUCAGAAUGUGGGAUUUUGUAGAGAUGCUUAAAUAUAUAGAGAGGAGGAAAAAAAGUUCAAGAUAAAAUACACAGAAAUGCUUAAUUCCUUUAUUUGAAAAUGUUGCGGUAGCACUGCAUUACAUAUAUUCAAUAUCCACAGUUUUUGAAGGAUCAUAGAAUUUUGGUAGUACAACACUGUUUGGAAUAUAUAACACAUUUCUGACAACUAUAAUGGAUAAAUUGCAGGUAAUAAGACUGGGAUAGUUUGGGUAUUAAAAAUCUUUUGCUUGAAAUGUGCAAAUGCUCCAUCUUUUAGUAAAACCAUCUUUCGGUCAAGUGUUUCAAUGUGUUAGGUAAUAGCAGCUCAUUGUUACAGUUGUGAUCUGUCAGUAGCCUGAAUGGUCAGAAUACCUAUUGGAAAGAAAUGCAAAAAGCUACUGUCCCAGGUCUUAGCAUAUAUCGUAAGGCUGAAAAUCAAGGCUAUUACUUCUGUGCUGGAAUUAAGUUUGUACAGUACACGUGAUAGAUGCAAUUUACUUUGCUUUUUAUUUACAUGCUGCAGCAAGCUUUAGUUACCAGUGUAUUUUCCAUUGCAACUGUGUACUCUAAAACAGAUGUCUGUUUGCCCAAUGUGGUUAUGCACACAAAGUUUUGUAAACACCACUGUAUCAGAUAGUAACUUAUAUGAUAAACUUAAGAUUCAACUGCUAAAUUCUCUUUAAUUUCUGCAAAUAAAGUACAAUUAAUUUCCGCAAUCUAACCCGUCCAUAUAAAGUGAAAGAAUGAAAAAAAAACACAAUUUCAUCAACCUUAUACUGAUUCUAAUUUAUUUAGGUCUAUUCCUGAUUAUUCCCAUGUGAGCUGAAAAUAAUGUUGUAAAUAGAACAUUGCUGAAAAGCAUCAAGCUUUAAUAACAAGCUCACAGCCUAGAUGGAUUUUGCACAGAUGCUUAGUGAAAGUACUAAAGUAUCACAGACAAAGAGUAGGAUCAACACUUGCACAGAAGUACACUUUUAAAAAAAUCCCUACUCACAUGUCAACUUUGAGUUUUUUUAAAAGAAAUGUCAAGGACCCCAAAUCUUCUGAUACAAACUUUAGGAAUAGAGUUUACAAUAGAGAGAAGCAAAAAACAGAAAAACAUUUUGAAUUAAUUGUAGCCCAAUUCUUACCAAAUGAAUGAAUAUUCUCAGCUAAACGUUUGGUUAUCUGUAAAUGUGGUCCAAAUAGCUUUUUUUAAUGGGAAAGAAAUAUAAUUAUUUUGCUUUAAAAACAAAAAUUAACACCUGGUUGAAAAUAUUCAGGUAACCCAAUUUUUUAUUUCAAAAUUUAAGUAAGGGUUACAUGGUGCUAAUUGUUUUUCUAGCAAAGGUUUUAAGUAAUUUGCAAGGAAUUACUUAAAAGGCCACUUUCUGUUUCAAACUACAUGACUUCAUUAUCCAAAGAUAUUUCUAUCUUGACAACCAAUUGAAAACAAGAUAUAUCUCUCUCCCUCCCUCCCUCCCUCCCUCCCUCAACAUAUCCUCCAAUUGAAAGAACAAAAGGCACUAGCUAUAUACCUGUUUGAAAUAAUCCAGAAUGUGUUCUGUCAAAAAACAAGAUCCCAAAACUAACUGCAACCAAUGACUAAGAUGUUUUUACAAAAUUAAAAAAA